rnacentral:rRNA from 1 species
GACGAACGCUGGCGGCGUGCUUAACACAUGCAAGUCGAACGGAAAGGCCCUGCUUUUGUUGGGUGCUCGAGUGGCGAACGGGUGAGUAACACGUGUGUAACCUGUCCUUGACUUUGUGAUAACUUCAGGAAACUCGGGCUCAUACCGCAUAUGAUCUCUUGCUGCAUGGUGGUGGUUGGAAAGUUUCGGCGUUUGGGGCUGGACUCGCGGCUUAUCAGCUUCUUGGUGAGGUAGUGGCUUACCAAGGCUUUGACGGGUAGCCGGCCUGAGAGGGUGACCGGCGACAUUGGGACUGAGAGACGGCCCAGAAUCCUACGGGAGGCAGCAGUGGGGAAUAUUGCACAAUGAGCGGAAGCGUGAGGCAGAGACGCCGCGUGCGGGAUGACGGGCUUCGGGUUGUAAACCAAUGUGGACUGUGACGAAGCGUGAGUGACGGUAAUGGGUAAGGAAGCAACGGCUAACUACGUG